rnacentral:rRNA from 1 species
UACGUAGGGUGCGAGCGUUGUCCGGAAUUACUGGGCGUAAAGAGCUCGUAGGUGGUUUGUCGCGUUGUUCGUGAAAACUCACAGCUCAACUGUGGGCGUGCGGGCGAUACGGGCAGACUGGAGUACUGCAGGGGAGACUGGAAUUCCUGGUGUAGCGGUGGAAUGCGCAGAUAUCAGGAGGAACACCGGUGGCGAAGGCGGGUCUCUGGGCAGUAACUGACGCUGAGGAGCGAAAGCGUGGGGAGCGAA